rnacentral:rRNA from 2 species
GAUUGAACGCUGGCGGCAGGCCUAACACAUGCAAGUCGAACGGUAACAGGAAGCAGCUUGCUGCUUUGCUGACGAGUGGCGGACGGGUGAGUAAUGUCUGGGAAACUGCCUGAUGGAGGGGGAUAACUACUGGAAACGGUGGCUAAUACCGCAUAACGUCGCAAGACCAAAGAGGGGGACCUUCGGGCCUCUUGCCAUCAGAUGUGCCCAGAUGGGAUUAGCUAGUUGGUGAGGUAACGGCUCACCAAGGCGACGAUCCCUAGCUGGUCUGAGAGGAUGACCAGCCACACUGGAACUGAGACACGGUCCAGACUCCUACGGGAGGCAGCAGUGGGGAAUAUUGCACAAUGGGCGCAAGCCUGAUGCAGCCAUGCCGCGUGUAUGAAGAAGGCCUUCGGGUUGUAAAGUACUUUCAGCGGGGAGGAAGGUGUUGUGGUUAAUAACCACAGCAAUUGACGUUACCCGCAGAAGAAGCACCGGCUAACUCCG